rnacentral:lncRNA from 1 species
CUUAUGUAAAAGAAAGUUGGAGUAGGCAUAAGCUUAUAGGAUCAUUAAGAAGCUCCUGUCCUUCUAUCUUUCUGCUUCCAGGCUUCCAUCUCAAGGUUACUUCAUGGCCCAAGACUUCUGUUGGAGCUCCAGCUGUUACAGCAGCAUCUCAGGCCUCCCUAUUUCAUGAGACCCAGUGAUAUUUAAAUUAGGCCAAUUAAUAAUCCUA